AUGAUUCCAGGACCUGGAAUCAUACCGGCCGAUGGGUGGUGGUUUAUCUCUCGUUCAGCUGACGGUGGUCAUUUGAUGCUCAUCUUCACGUACCAAAUUGACCAAAACAUUUCAUCAAACCACAUGCAGUACAAUGCCUGGGGUUCGAAGAAGGAUUGGCCAGUGCUGCCGGACGGUGUCAAGUUCGAUCCCACGGAUAAGGAGCUGAUCGAGCACCUUGAGGCCAAAGUGAGUGCUGACAGCGUGAGAUCUCAACCUCUCAUCGAUUUGUUCAUACCAACCAUUGACAGCGAGCACGGCAUAUGCUACACCCAUCCAGAGAAAUUUCCAGGUAUCACACUAAGUGGCCUAAGCAAGCAUUUCUUCCAGCGCAAUUCGAGGGUGUUCAAAAGGGGCACGUGGACGCGUCGCAAGAUACAGUCGGAGUGCGGCAUGCACGCGAUGUGGCACAACACCGGCAAUACCUUGCCGGUGAUGGCCAACGGCCGGCAGACGGGCAGCAAAAAGGUUCUGGUGCUGCACACCAACAAGAACUUCAACCAGCAGAGGACCAACAGGGUGAUGCACCAGUACCACCUCGGGGACCUGGAGAAAGAGAAGGAGCGGGAGCUGGUCCUCUGCAAGAUUUUCUACCAGACGAACACUAGGGCCAGGAGUAAAAAGAUUAUAAGUCGAGCAAGUUUCAACUGGGCUGUAGACUGCCCAGGCUUGGUUUUGUUUUUAACAGGCCCAGCCCAUGACGACAAUGGGGCACAAAGAUCCAGCAGCGCAGAUUCUUUUUACCACUGGUUUUCCCUUAAACCAACUCAAUUGUCCCACGUCUGA
rnacentral:rRNA from 1 species